ACAGUACCGUCAAGCUGGUAUACAUGCCAGUGUUUCUUCCAGUAUAAAAGUAGUUUACAACCCAUAGUGCAUUCUUCCUACACGCGGCAUGGGUGGAUCAGAGUUUCAUACAGUGAACAAUUUUGAUCAUGAUUGCGUCCAGUUAGAUUGUGGUCAGUAUAUCAGAUUCCAGCGUAUGCAUAUCUCCGUCUCAGGAGCUCUAACAUAUGGUUGACUUGCUGAGGGCUGUCAAUACCAAAGUGAUUAUACGACGCGUAUCCAUGUCUUGGCGAUAAAUCUGGAAGUCUUAAGUGAGGCCACUGUACAAAAUCAUAGACCAUUAAUGUUCAUCUGUUCCGGCAAUUCCUCGGUGUUUAAUAAGUUCUAUAAGGCGUGUAAACGACACCUUGCAACUCGGGAAGGAAAAGCGUGCAAGGCAACAUAUGUCAUCUAGCCGUAUAUCGUCUAUUGUUUAAAACGAACGCGUCUAGGCUGAAUCUUCCGUGCCACCCAGCGCGAGGUAAU
rnacentral:rRNA from 1 species